rnacentral:rRNA from 1 species
UGAGGAAUUUUGCGCAAUGGGGGAAACCCUGACGCAGCAACGCCGCGUGAGUGAUGAAGGCUUUCGGGUCGUAAAGCUCUGUCAAGUGGGAAGAACCUAUAUAAAGCCAAUACCUUUAUAUACUGACGGUACCACUGAAGGAAGCACCGGCUAACUCCGUGCCAGCAGCCGCGGUAACACGGGGGGUGCAAGCGUUAUUCGGAAUCACUGGGCGUAAAGAGCGCGUAGGCGGCCAGGUAAGUCAGAUGUGAAAGCCCGGGGCUCAACCCUGGAAGUGCAUCUGAAACUGCUUGGCUUGAGUAUGGGAGAGGGAAGUGGAAUUCCUGGUGUAGAGGUGAAAUUCGUAGAUAUCAGGAGGAACACCGGUGGCGAAGGCGACUUCCUGGACCAAUACUGACGCUGAGGCGCGAAGGCGUGGGGAGCAAACAGGAUUAGAUACCCGCGUAGUCC